CUAAUACCGCAUACGUCUACGGGAGAAAGCAGGGGACCUUCGGGCCUUGCGCUAUCAGAUGAGCCUAGGUCGGAUUAGCUAGUUGGUGAGGUAAUGGCUCACCAAGGCGACGAUCCGUAACUGGUCUGAGAGGAUGAUCAGUCACACUGGAACUGAGACACGGUCCAGACUCCUACGGGAGGCAGCAGUGGGGAAUAUUGGACAAUGGGCGAAAGCCUGAUCCAGCCAUGCCGCGUGUGUGAAGAAGGUCUUCGGAUUGUAAAGCACUUUAAGUUGGGAGGAAGGGUUGUAGAUUAAUACUCUGCAAUUUUGACGUUACCGACAGAAUAAGCACCGGC
rnacentral:rRNA from 1 species